UUGAACGAGAGAAUAAAACUUACGCAUUACAUAAGGAAAUGUCUCAUAAGUAUCCACUUUACUGGCCCUAUAUCAACAGGAAAUUUAGUUGCAUCGCUCUUGUGGUCAAAUGUUUAGAGGAGUAUUUAUUUUCAGAGCCACCAGCCAUAAUUACGGAGUUCAGUGCUGUGCAUGGAAUGGGUUUGGAAGCAAUGGCAAGAAGAAUGGGCUAUCUUUCUAAAUUCUGACAUGCAAUAAAGUGGGAAUGAUAAUACUGCCCCCAUUCAUUAUCUCCCUGACUUCAUCUCUCAGCAUGGUGUGAGAAUGUGAUGUUAACAGUGCAUGCAAGUGCAGGAAAGAACAGGAAUUCUGCUGCCUCUUAG